rnacentral:rRNA from 1 species
ACGAACGCUAGCGGGAUGCCUCAAACAUGCAAGUCGUACGCGAAAGUCCUUCGGAUGAGUAGAGUGGCGCACGGGUGAGUAACACGUAGCUAACCUACCUCUUCGCUGGGGAGUAACUCCGGGAAACCGGAGCUAAUACCGAAUGAUCUGGCGGAAUCUUAGGAUUCUUCCGGUAAAGCCGUAAGGCGCGAAGAGAUGGGGCUGCGGUCUAUUAGCUUGUUGGUAAGGUAAUGGCUUACCAAGGCUACGAUCCGUAACCGGCCUGAGAGGGCGGUCGGUCACACUGACACUGACAUACGGGUCAGACUCCUACGGGAGGCAGCAGUCGGAAUUUUGGGCAAUGGGCGAAAGCCUGACCCAGCAACGCCGCGUGAAGGAUGAAAUCCCUCGGGAUGUAAACUUCGCAAGAAUGGGAAGAAUAAGUAGGGGACAAUACCCCCCUAUGAUGAC